AGUGAACGCUGGCGAUAGGCCUAACACAUGCAAGUCGAACGGCAGCACAGUAAGAGCUUGCUCUUACGGGUGGCGAGUGGCGGGCGGGUGAGGAAUACAUCGGAAUCUACUUUUUCGUGGGGGAUAACGUAGGGAAACUUACGCUAAUACCGCAUACGACCUACGGGUGAAAGCAGGGGAUCUUCUGACCUUGCGCGAUUGAAUGAGCCGAUGUCGGAUUAGCUAGUUGGCGGGGUAAAGGCCCACCAAGGCGACGAUCCGUAGCUGGUCUGAGAGGAUGAUCAGCCACACUGGAACUGAGACACGGUCCAGACUCCUACGGGAGGCAGCAGUGGGGAAUAUUGGACAAUGGGCGCAAGCCUGAUCCAGCCAUACCGCGUGGGUGAAGAAGGCCUUCGGGUUGUAAAGCCCUUUUGUUGGGAAAGAAAAGCAGCAGGUUAAUACCCCGCUGUUCUGACGGUACCCAAAGAAUAAGCACCGGCUAACCUCGUG
rnacentral:rRNA from 1 species